CGCCCACACCUGGGGUUUGGAGUGAGGUCAUCUUGGUUAAGUGUCUCGAGCUGACAUGGUAGCUACUCAGCAAUGGAAACUGUAGGAGAAACUCAAGCGGAGAAGCCAACGCAGCCAUAGCCGUGUCUGAGCUCGACGUUUGAAGUUUCAGGACUAAAUAAGAUUUGUUCGUAUCAAUUGUCUUCUGUGUUUACCAUAAACAAGCUAUAUUUCUGUAUUUAAGAACUCGCCUUCCAACCCGACAAAGCACAUUGAGAAGAAGCGUACAAGGCAGCUGGAGAAAUAUGAUGAAUUGACUACAACAGCCUGCAAGAGAAAAUCUGAAGGUUUUCUCACAAACCUCACACAGAUGAAGCUAGACGAAACAAUGCAAGUCUUUCAGAAGAGUGUCAACAAGGCUAUUCUGAACUUUAUAGUUCAUGGUCUCCAUCUGUUCUCUCUUGUUGAGCAGCCAGCAUUUCAGAGCCUUAUCCAAGAUCUGCAGCCGAACUGCUCCAUCAUGUCUUGAACCACUGUGCGACUCAAACCUGAUAAAGCUACAUUAGCAAUGAGGAAGGUGCCAUACAUGGCCACAACGACUGAUUGCUGGACUUCGAGGAGGAGGAGUUUCAUUGCUUUCAUCGCAGCCCAUUGGCUGAAUCUAAGCACCUUCUGUUGGUCUUGUAUGCAUGCAGUUAAAGGGCACUCACACGUUUGACGUCUUGGCAAGCACAUUGAAUGACGUACAUUGUUAAUAUGCAGUCUGUGAGAAGAUUGCCAGAACCACAACUGACAAGAGAUCAAACUUUGUUAAGGUCGUCUGAGUGCUUGGAGGAGACAAAAACAACAACGUUACUGGUGAAGAGGCAACUGAUGACGAUCCAACACAAGAUUGUCAGGAUGAGGAAGUAGAAUUCAUCCAAGUUGGCACCAUGAUGACUGACCAUUUGGUCAAUCUGGUGGAUGCAAAAAACGCAAACAAGGCAGAGGCCUAGAAGAAAUUGUCGAGGUCGGCCUUCUCCAAGCGCCAGGAUCUCUGGAACAAGACUGUGAGGUCUACUGUUGCUGAAGAGGUGGUUGAAGAACAUUGUAAACUUCAGCUGGUGCAACCUAACAUGACAAGGUGAAACUCCUUUUACUUGGCUGUAGAGCGGAUCCUGAGAAUCCUCAAAGAGCAAGAAGCACUUGAUGUUCCAGUUGUACCUGCUCAACAAAAGAACUAAACAUGCAACAUUUUCAUCAAACAAGUAAAGUCGUUGGGGCAUUAUGUAAUGUGGAGUAAAUGCUCCUUGUCUUCUGCCCUGUCAGUAAGAGCCUCUACUCCUGAAAACAACAUCAAGAUUUUUGUGGAAAUGCAGCUGUAAGUCAUCGUGACAAAGUCACUGACUGAACUGCAAUCAGCUUGGACUUGAUAGCAUCAUUUUAUGACUUGGCUCGGAUUGCAUUAGAAUCAGUCUAUAUAAUUAGACUGAAUGGACUACAUGUUCCUCUGUAAAUUGGAGCUGUUUGGUUUGUAAAAUGCUUUGAGUGGACAAUUGUUGUGGAUUGAUGCCACAUAAGUAAUAAAACAUUGAACUUGUUUGCUUUAAUGUCCAUUUGAAAGAUCCAAUUGUGCUCACAUCAACUUCAGUAGUGCUACAUAAAGUUCUUCCUUCAUGAUGCCAUCAGUUUUAUAAAGUAUACCACUUCCUACUACAAUCAAGUAACCAUCUGUGUACUUGAUGUUCUCAGGCUUACAAGCUUCAGCCCUGUUGCUCUUAUAUAAUGAUGGUCAUUAUAUUAAUUGCAGUGGAAUUUAUACAGCACUCCAGUCAUGCUGACCACUGAAAGCUCUUUACACAUCCUCUUUACUCGCUAAACAUUAAAGCCACCGAUAAGCAGAGGAGUAGGCAACUUUGAGUUGCUCUGUCCAGGGUCACAUUGCUAUAUGGCAGGGGAGGAAGCAGGAAUCAAACCCACAACUUCCAGAAGCAAGACAGUUGUGGAAACCUGCCCCUUGUUCCACGCUUUGCUCCUAGUGAGAAAUGAAGGCUUCCUGUCGGUGGGGACUCUGUUGAAGGCUGAAACAAUUGGGUCUCAAAACAUAUUAAUCUUUUAAACAAAAUACUCGUCGGCUUUCUGAAUGGUGGGAUGGCUG